GCAAGAAGGAACCUCAUGCAACACUAGGCAAGAACCCACAUCACCGCUAUCAUCUGGCGUGAGGGACACAGCGUGUGGAGGGAGCCUCUUUAAGUAGCAGUUUGGAAUCAACCAUAGUUUCCGUACAGUCUCACUGGUGAUCCGUUUGCCAGAGGUGCGCUCUCUCUAAUGCAUGCAGCACAGGGUACAGGAUCUUGGAUCAAGCCCAGCUCUUUCACUCGAAGGUGACUGGCAGCUCUUUGCUGGGGUCAGAGAGAAGGACGGGGCUCGGACUGCUCCUUCCCCGCGAGCGAGCGCCCGACCCCUUCUAGGCAUAAGGCUGUGCUAUGAGAAAGCUGUUGACCACGAAGGAAGGCGUAGAGGAAGACAUGUUCUCGGCUGGAAAGCCAAUGCAUUGGGUCAGCUGGCUCAAAAGGACCGUCACUGUGACCAAGCCUGAGGCCCCAGUGAUGGCCAUUUGCUGAGCUUGCAAAUGCCAUCCAAGAGAGCGUGGCACGGUCAUGCAGCCAAGACCACCAACAUGUCUCUUGUCUGGAGCUCGAGCCAGCUUUUAAAUGUUUGUGUACAUCACCACUGCCGUCCAGACCCACAGAAGAAUGGACAAAAGUGUUGCUCUGAGGCCAGCUGGUCCGCUGGAGGCGAGUAUGUUAAUAAGAUUGUGGAUUAGCAAUCUGGUAUUUAGAAGCAUCAUCAUAUUUCCCCCCCCCCAGCUCUAGGAAGCUAGUAGUGGUAAGGAAA
rnacentral:lncRNA from 1 species